rnacentral:tRNA from 1 species
GCGACCAUGGUGGAAUUGGUAGACACGCUAGCAUGAGGUGCUAGUGCCCUUGGUGUGAGAGUUCGAGUCUCUCUGGUCGCACCA